AAAAAGCGAAGCGAAGGAAGGUGGGAGAGGCAGCGGGGCCCCUCUGGGAGCUUGGCCAGAGGCGCCCGAACCCCCCUCCCCUGCGCGGCUGCUGAGAGUCGCUCCCCUUCCCUUUUCUUUCCGAGCAGCCGAAUUCUGUCCCUAGACGCUGAGUUCCCUGGAGAGGGUAGGGCCAGGAUGCAAAGUUGCUGACCUCGGCCUCGGCUCUAGGGGAAGCAGGCAAAGGGGAUGGAGAGACUGCUGGCGAUGGAGAAGCUGGGACACUGUAGGGCACAGAGAAAGUGUCUCCUCCGAGAAGGGUCCAGCCAGCAGACCCCUACCCCCCACCCCAGGAUCCAGAGCCUCUUCUGGGAUCACAUCUGGGAGAGGCUGGCUUGGUUCAGAGCUUGCCCGUCCUAAGCAAAAUAAAUAAAGAAUUCUCGCUGGCCUCAGUGUGGGAGGAAUCAAACAACCUAAACAAAUACCUCCCCCAGCCUCCCUGCCCGCCCCUCCCUCCACAUCCCCGGACAGGUGGGGAAAGGGCUGCUAUGACCAGCUUUGCGGCCUUGGUCAAGUCACUUCCUCCAUCCCUUUUUGCUUUUAUAAACGCAGAGUCUGUGGGUGGAAGCUGUGGAAGUCCCUCCAGUGGAAAGGUGGUCAGUGCUGGGAAUGAAUGGGACGUAGGAGUCACUCCAAACGAGACCAGCCCAGAUUUGGUGGGUCGGCCAAGCUCAUCCCAGAACGUUUUGGACCUCAUCAGGAAACACACUGUGUAUUAAUGCGUGGCUGGGUGCGGGCCAAUCUGAAAGAAAGCCAUCGGCUGAGGGGGCUGCUUCUGUGAGAGAAGCCCAGAAGAACAGGGAGCAAGAGGGCUUCCCAGGAGGGUCCCUGACAUGAGAUCAGUGACCAGACAGGGUGCUGGGGCAGAAGAGGAUGGCGUAAAAGCCAGACAGCUUGGUGGAGGGUGUAGGUGCUGGGAAAAGCACAGUAUGAGGCUGGUUGUGUGACUCCAAGCCAAUUAAACUCUCCCGACCUCCUUCUGAACAGGCAAAAUGGAGGAGCCGACACCAACUUCCCUGGGUUGUGGUAAUAAGAACUCAGUGGUUAAUGUUCCUUCCUGGCUCUUCAUGGAUGAGAACUAGGUGUUGUGUUGUGUUGUGUUUUCCAGUUCAGGAAUGUCAUGUUCAUAUUGUUUUCUCUCCUCGUUUGGGGUGGUGCUGAGUGGAGCGGGUAGGGGGAAUGGCUGUAUUUUGCUGCCUCUCACUCUUGCCUUCCUGUUUUACCAGUCUCUGAAUCCCUGUGUCAGACUCAAAUUAUCUAAAAUACUUAAAUAUAUAACAUAAAGCAUUGCUCUUUAAAGAAAAUGCCACUGAAAUAAAAUAAAACAUCCCUCAAUGCAUUGAAAUAGCCUGCAGUAAAACGCCGUGCAAGUCAGCUUCCUCCCGGAACCUCCACCAGUCCCCUGCUGCGUCUUCUACAGUUAAAGUUAACCACUCAAAAGGGAUGGCAUUUCUAUCUGGAACUGAAUUAAAAAAGCACAUGAGGCUGGACGUGGUGGCUCAAGCCUGUAAUCCAAGCACUUUGGAGGCCAAGCCCUCACCCACCAGCAGUUUGCCCCUUCCUCCUACUUGGCUUUUUCUCUGCCUGGCCUUGACACACGCGGUGAGUGGAAGAGUCUUCCUGGGCUGUGGGCUGUAGUGUUGGAGGACAGGGGGUGGGAAAUAAACCGAAAUUACAAUGGAAGGGAUAUUAUUGAGAUUCUAGGAAGAAUUCUGACCUUCUAAGGCAAGAGACCCAGUAGCAUUCUCUCCCCAGAGAAGAAUCCCCUAAUACCCUGGGAAUGCAAAGGGCUGGGGCUGGGAGUGGUAGAGAAGACACGCCAAUACACCCGAAAGAAGGGGAAAGCGAAAGGAGAAAAUAGAGGCUUGAGAGGGCACAGGGAGAAUUCUUAUUUCUGUGCUCUCUCAAGAGGAGAGGGACUUGCAUCGCACAGCUAACGAACCUCUUCCCAAAUUCUCUGUGCGGGAUUUGGCUGCUCCCAGAAGGGGGUCUUUUCUAACAAGGUGCCCCCGGGCCCUGCCCCUCCCUCCCCAGGAGCUGAAGCCGCCAAAGGUUCGUGGAAUAUAAUGGAUCAUUUUCCAAUUUACCAGGGUCUUAGAGAUUACGCCGCUAAUCCCAUCAAAGACCAUCUGCUUACAUUGUCCCUCCUGAGCCAAAAUAAAUAGAUCCUUUACUCCCUCCACUUCAACUCCUCUGGGGUAUUGUAGCAGGAGAAAGUUCGACAAGGCCCAUCCCAUUUCCCCCUCCCUCCCGCUGAGGGCUGGACAGAAAAGGAGAAAACAAACUUAGCUUGUCUGAGGUGUGAAAGGUCACUUACGAUCCUGACCUGCAUUCUUCUCCGUUGCCUGCGACGAUGGGAAUUGGGGAGAGGGGCGGGCCCCCGGGGCUCUGGGGGUCUCUCAGGAUCAGCCCCCUGCGGAGGUGUGGGACAGGCUGUUCUGUGCCCCACUGUCCUGCUGUCUCUGCUCUGAGGCCACCUUAGCCCCAGCCCAUUUUUGGUCCCUUUCUAGUCUUUUUGAGUUUCUUCCACCUAUGACUGUUGGGAAAUAAUUAUUAAAAUCUAACUUUCAUCCCUCCCUUGACAGAACUGUGGGAAAAAGGACACGAGAGUCCAUAAAAACACUAAUUUGAUUCCAUCUAAGAGUUACUUGUUCUAUAGGGUUUUCACAUUUAUUCUUAUUUGUUGCUACUCUUUUGCAGAAAGGGGCUUCGUAAAUGGGAAAAUGAGGGGCUCAGGGGGAGCGCCUUCUGGCCCAAGGUCUGGGAAAAGUUGAUAACUAGAACCAAAAGUGUGUAUGUGCUACCCAGGCUUCAGAAAUUAGAUUAUGUACGUAAUAUAUUAAAAGGCGAUAACCACUUUGGACAAUCAAUGAAAUGUAAAACAGCCUAAGUGGACAGGGAGGGGCCUCAUUGAGAAGUCGACACUAAAGGCUUAGAGGAGGUAAGAGAGAUAUUUUCAAGAAAAUCAGGAAAAAGCUCCACACACAAGGACCAUCCAGUCUCUUCCCACAGCUGCCUUCCGUCUUGCUGCCUCUACCCCCUUGGUCCUUCCGUCAUCAUUGUCCGCAACUGUUUUCUAACCUGUUCAGGAAGGGGCUCUCAGCCACCAUCUCAUCCUUUGCAGGACAAUCCACAGAGGUGGGUCUCCCAAACUCUGGCAAACAGCUGCCUGUUGGGAAUGACUCUGCUGUAGACACAUCUGGUCUCCUGUAGAGACAUGUUGUACUUUCGAAAGCAGCAUAAGGUGACAGAAACAACAUUGGCAUCGGAGUCAGGACAAUCUCUGCUACUUAUGAGCUAUGUGAUUCUGGGUAUGGCUCCUGGACUCUGCCUCUCCAUUUCCUCAUCUGUAAAACAAAGAUUCCGCCUACUUCAUGAAGCUGCUGGGAAACAGACAGUUCCUGGUGGGUGCUCUACACAGAGCACUGUGUGAGAUAGAGCAGAGAAUGGGUCCCACACCACAAAGAAGUUAGAAUGUGCUUAAGAAAUUCAACAGGGAUAUGUAAAGCACUGCAUGUAGAGACAAAACAUAAAUUUUCUAGUUACAAGAACUGUUCAUUUGACAAGUGUUUGCUGGCUGACCCUAUGGACCAGGCACUAAAGGGACAUAAGGGGAAGGAGACGUCCGCCCUGAUUAAAGAUCAAAAGCAAAGCCACAAAUUAUUGUUCAGAAAAUAUCGAUGGAAAUUCUACACAGAGAGAAAGAGAUCACGUUCAACAGGGGUAAUGUAGAAUCAGGAAAGGUUUCACUAAAGAGGUGGGCAGGAGCUGGGUGGUCUUUGAAAGAAGGAUAGGACCGGAACAUGCAGAGGGUAAGACAAAGCAGAUCAGUGUGUGAGAGACCAGGCUUGUCAAAGAUGCAUCUCGGAAAGACCUGAACGUUUAAGUGACCAUAAGCUCAAUAUGAGCCAGUAACAUGGUGGAACUGCUGAAGGCUAAUGUCUUUGGCUCUGGAAGAAGAAUCACAUUCCAAUCAAGAGAGCUGAGGAGCGUUAGUGCACUUAACUGACUCCAUCUGAGACAAGAUACUGACAUGUAAGAGAGCACCGAGAAGAGGAUUAACCAAAUGGGGAGGGGGCUCUACCAUAUAGAAGGGAUGUGGCCAUGGGCAGGUGACUUCAUCUCUCUCAUCUUCAUUUCCCUCAUCAGUAAAAUGAGAAUGAGAUUUAUUGCACAGGGUUCAUAGUGAGGGUUAAAUGAGAUUAUAUGAGAAUACCUGCUAAAGUGCCCGGUACAUGGGAAAUACUUCAAAUGAUUCUUGAAAAAGAAGUCUUCUGGCCAGACGCAGUGGCUCACACCUGUAAUCCUAGCACUUUGGGAGGCCGAGGUGGGUAGAUCACCUGAGGUCAGGAGUUCAAGACCAGCCUGGCCAUCAUGGUGAAAUCCCAUCUUUGGGGGGGGGAAAAAAAAAAAAAAAAAGAAGUCUCCAUUAAGUGAAGGAUUGUGAACAAGCUGAUCCUGGAGCUAUGGUACCUGUCUUUUUUUUUUUUUUUUUUAAUGUGCUGAAAUCUGGAUUUAUUUAUAAACUUAUUAGAGACUGUCAGGGAAACACAUGUUAGUUCCGUUCAUCUUUUUUUUUGUCUAAAAUCUUGUUGAGUCUCAUCCCUCUUUAUAUGUAACACUAACUUAGGAACUGUUUCUUUAUAUUAAGUCAGAACUCAUUUUACCUAGUGGUUUCACUUGCAAUGUAUAAACUGUAUUGUAUAACAUUCAAAUAAGUAAUUGAGGCUGUCGCCCUGGGUAAUGCAGAUAACCUCAGCACAUCGGGAUGCCAAGUAGGGCAGAUCACCUGAGGUCAGGAGUUUGAGACCAGCCAGGCUAACAUGAUAAAAACCUUGUCUCUACUAAAAAUACAAAAAUUAGGCCAGGCUCAGUGGCUCAUGCCUGUAAUCCCAGCACUUUAGAAAGAUGGAGUGGGGAGAUCACGCGGUCAAGAGUUCAAGACCAGCCUGGCCAAUAUAGUGAAACUCUGUCUCUACUAAAAACACAAAAAUUAGCUGGGCAUGGUGGCGCGCGCCCAAGUACUUGGGAGGCUGAGGCAAGAGAAUCGCUUGAACCCAGGAGGCAGAGGUUGUGGUUAGCUGAAGUCUCAUCACUGCGCUCCAGCUAGGCCACAGAUGGAGACUCCAUCUGCAAGAAAAAAAAAAAAAAAAAAAAGAAAUACAAAAAUUAGCUGGAUGUGGUGGCACAUGCCUAUAAUCCCAGCUACUCAGGAGGCUGAGACAGGAGAAUUGCUUGAACCCAGGAGGCAGAGGUUACAGUGAGCUGAGAUCACUCCACUGCACUGCAGCCUGGAUGAAAGAGUGAUACUCUGUCUCAAAAACAAAAAACAAGUAAUAGAAAUUUAAUUAAAGAAUGUGGAAAAAGUCAUACACUAAAAAUGAAUUGAAAUCCAUCAUCUGACACUGAUUAACAUAUUUAGCAGAUUAGACGAGACCUACAUUUCUGUUAACAACAUUGAAAAGCAGAAUUUGUUUGUUUGUUUUUUUUAUAAAGACGGGGUUUCACCAUGUUGGUCAGGCUGGUCUUGAGCUGCCAACCUAAGGUGAUCCGCCCGCAUUGGCCUCCGAAGUGCUUGGAUUACAGGCGUGAGCCACCACGCCCGGCAGAUAUGGUACCUGUCUUUAACUAUCUAAUGAGCAAUCUACAUAGAAAAGGGGUAGACGUGUUGAAUGGUACAGGAAAAGAAUCGGUGAGUGGAAAUAGAAGGAAACACAUUAAGGCUUGGCAUGAAGAAGAAUGUACAAACGGCCAGAAACGACCAAACACGAGAACAUUUAGUCAGUCAUGACCACCAGUUCUUGGUGAUUUUAGACCAAGAUAUAGAAGAACAAAUUUCUGUUUUGGGUAAGUGACUGAACUACCUGAUUUCAUAGCAGUAUGUGCCGUGCUAGCUACUCUGGAGGCUGAGGCGAGACGGUCGCUUGAACUUGGGUGGUUAAGGCUGCAGUGAGCUGAGAUCACACCGCUGUACUCUAGCUUGGGGGACAGAGCAAG